rnacentral:tRNA from 1 species
GCCUGAGUGGCUCAGUCGGUUGAGCGUCCGACUUCGUCUCAGGUCAUGAUCUCACAGUCUGUGGGUUCGAGCCCCGUGUCAGGCU